rnacentral:lncRNA from 10 species
AUCCUUCUAGGUUUUCUAUUUUGUGUAUCCUGUGCAAAGUUUCCUCCAGACGUUGUUUGUUUCUAAUUCUGGCAACAGCACCCUUCAAAGAUUCUGACUCAGAGGAAGUGUCUCAGGAUCACUGCAUCACCUUACUACACCUCCUAUGAUUAUAUGACUAUGGGCUUCCAGACUCAGGCCAGACCUCCAGCUUGUCUGCUGUGACUCUUUGUAGCUUUGUAUUUGGCUGUCUACCUCCCAGCUUCUCAGCCUUGUCUCCAGGUCCAGGGGGCCGAUGCUCCAACAAUAAUGAAGCUCUAAUUCCUGGUUCCCUGAGCCUGCUCGGGUUUUUGUUUCUUUCGCUUUUUGUUUUUGUUUGUUUGGGGGAAGGUGAGCUUGGAGAUUUCUCCUACCAUUAGUUGAGGACAGAAAUGGAAUAAAAAGUAUAUGUUGGGGAGACAUGACCAGUCUGGUGAAGUGUUGGUAAGUUUUCCAACUUUUUAAAAAGUAUAUGCACUAUAGAUAUUCUACAUAGAUUAUAUAGAUAUAUAAACAGAUAGACAUAGAUUUUUUCCCCUGGCACCUUGCUUUCAUGUUCUUUAAAGAAAUGAAUAAACU